rnacentral:rRNA from 1 species
GUCUGGUGCCAGCAGCCGCGGUAAUUCCAGCUCCAAUAGCGUAUAUUAAAGUUGCUGCAGUUAAAAAGCUCGUAGUUGAAUUUCGGGACCAAUAUGUCGGUCGUGCUUCGGUACGUACUGUCAUAAUUGGUUUCUCCCUUCUGAAGAACCUUGAUGUCAUUAAUUUGGUGUCUUGGGGAAUCAGGACUGUUACUUUGAAAAAAUUAGAGUGUUUAAAGCAGGCUCGCGCUUGAAUACAUUAGCAUGGAAUAAUGAAAUAGGACGUUUGAUUCUAUUUUGUUGGUUUCUAGGAUCGACGUAAUGAUUAAUAGGGAUAGUUGGGGGCAUUAGUAUUCAAUUGUCAGAGGUGAAAUUCUUGGAUUUAUUGAAGACUAACUACUGCGAAAGCAUUUGCCAAGGAUGUUUUCAUUAAUCAAGAACGAAAGUUAGGGGAUCGAAGACGAUCAGAUACCGUCGUAGUC